rnacentral:misc_RNA from 1 species
GCGAGUAUGGCCCUCACGGGUCUAAUCCACCAUAAACACCUUUGUGAACCAGUCAGGGGGACUCGGCCGUGAAAGCCCAGGCGAUUAGCGGAAGGGCCCUCCUUUGCAACCCGUUUAGAAGUCUUGAAAGUACUUUUGUAUAAUCUAGUA